rnacentral:misc_RNA from 1 species
GCAAACUUGGUCAUUUAGAGGAAGUAAAAGUCGUAACAAGGUUUCCGUAGGUGAACCUGCGGAAGGAUCAUUACUGAGUUUUGGUUACCUUUUGGUGCCCGAUCUCCCACCCUUUGUUUAAAUGACAUUUGUUGCUUUGGCCGGCCUGUCUUGCUUCGGUAAGACUGCUGGAGCCAGGUCUCUCGGGACCGGGCUCUUGCUCGUUGCUGGCCAAUAGCCCCUUCAAAUUCUUUUUUUAACCAUGUCGUCUGAAUCUUUAAAUGAAUUCCAUUUAAAACUUUCAACAACGGAUCUCUUGGUUCUGGCAUCGAUGAAGAACGCAGC